rnacentral:rRNA from 1 species
UACGUAGGCAGCAAGCGUUGUUCGGAAUUACUGGGCGUAAAGAGUGCGUAGGUGGUUGACUAAGUUUGGUGUGAAAUCUCCCGGCUUAACUGGGAGGGUGCGCCGAAAACUGGUUGGCUAGAGUGUGGGAGAGGGAAGCGGAAUUCCAGGUGUAGCGGUGAAAUGCGUAGAUAUCUGGAGGAACGCCUGCGGUGUAGACGGCUUCCUGGACCAUGACUGACACUGAGGCACGAAAGCGUGGGUAGCAAACAGGAUUAGAUACCCUGGUAGUCCACGCCCUAAACGAUGCGAACUUGGUGUGCGUCCUUCAUUGGGUGCGUGCCGAAGCUAACGCGAUAAGUUCGCCGCCUGGGGAGUACGGUCGCAAGGCUGAA